rnacentral:miRNA from 1 species
AGUGGCAACAGUUGCCAACAGA